CGCCUACGGGGGGCAGCAGUGGGGGAUAUUGCACAAUGGGGGCAACCCUGAUGCAGCGACGCCGCGUGAGCGAUGGAGUACUUCGGUAUGUAAAGCUCUGUCAGCAGGGAAGAGAAUGACGGUACCUGACCAAGAAGCCCCGGCUAACUACGUGCCAGCAGCCGCGGUAAUACGUAGGUGGCAAGCGUUAUCCGGAUUUAUUGGGUGUAAAGGGCGUGUAGGCGGGAGCGCAAGUCAGAUGUGAAAACUCAGGGCUCAACCCUGAGCCUGCAUUUGAAACUGUGUUUCUUGAGUGCUGGAGAGGG
rnacentral:rRNA from 1 species